rnacentral:rRNA from 1 species
UUUCCGGUUGAUCCCGCCGGACCUGACUGCUAUCGGAUUGAUACUAAGCCAUGCGAGUCAUUGUAGCAAUACAAGGCAGACGGCUCAGUAACGCGUAGUCAACCUAACCUAUGGACGGGAAUAACCUCGGGAAACUGAGAAUAAUGCCCGAUAGAACAUUAUACCUGGAAUGGUUUAUGUUCCAAAUGAUUUAUCGCCGUAGGAUGGGACUGCGGCCUAUCAGUUUGUUGGUGAGGUAAUGGCCCACCAAGACUAUUACAGGUACGGGCUCUGAGAGGAGUAGCCCGGAGAUGGGUACUGAGACACGGACCCAGGCCCUAUGGGGCGCAGCAGGCGAGAAAACUUUGCAAUGUGCGAAAGCACGACAAGGUUAAUCCGAGUGGUUUCUGCUAAAGGAACCUUUUGUCGGUCCUAGAAACACCGAUGAAUAAGGGGUGGGCAAGUUCUGGUGUCAGCCGCCGCGGUAAAACCAGCACCUCAAGUGGUCAGGAUGAUUAUUGGGCCUAAAGCAUCCGUAGCCGGCUCUGUAAGUUUUUCGGUUAAAUCUGUACGCUCAACGUACAGGCUGCCGGGGAAUACUGCAGAGCUAGGGAGUGGGAGAGGUAGACGGUACUCGGUAGGAAGGGGUAAAAUCCUUUGAUCUAUUGAUGACCACCUGUGGCGAAGGCGGUCUACCAGAACACGUCCGACGGAGAGGGAUGAAAGCUGGGGGAGCAAACCGGAUUAGAUACCCGGGUAGUCCCAGCUGUAAACUAUGCAAACUCAGUGAUGCAUUGGCUUGUGGCCAAUGCAGUGCUGCAGGGAAGCCGUUAAGUUUGCCGCCUGGGAAGUACGUACGCAAGUAUGAAACUUAAAGGAAUUGGCGGGGGAGCACCACAAGGGGUGAAGCCUGCGGUUCAAUUGGAGUCAACGCCAGAAAUCUUACCCGGAGAGACAGCAGAAUGAAGGUCAAGCUGAAGACUUUACCAGACAAGCUGAGAGGUGGUGCAUGGCCGUCGCCAGCUCGUGCCGUGAGAUGUCCUGUUAAGUCAGGUAACGAGCGAGAUCCCUGCCUCUAGUUGCCACCAUUACUCUCAGGAGUAGUGGGGCGAAUUAGCGGGACCGCCGCAGUUAAUGCGGAGGAAGGAAGGGGCCACGGCAGGUCAGUAUGCCCCGAAACUCUGGGGCCACACGCGGGCUGC